rnacentral:rRNA from 1 species
AUUGAACGCUGGCGGCAGGCUUAACACAUGCAAGUCGAGCGGUAGCACAGGGGAGCUUGCUCCCUGGGUGACGAGCGGCGGACGGGUGAGUAAUGUCUGGGAAACUGCCUGAUGGAGGGGGAUAACUACUGGAAACGGUAGCUAAUACCGCAUAACGUCGCAAGACCAAAGAGGGGGACCUUCGGGCCUCUUGCCAUCAGAUGUGCCCAGAUGGGAUUAGCUAGUAGGUGGGGUAAUGGCUCACCUAGGCGACGAUCCCUAGCUGGUCUGAGAGGAUGACCAGCCACACAGGAACUGAGACACGGUCCAGACUCCUACGGGAGGCAGCAGUGGGGAAUAUUGCACAAUGGGCGCAAGCCUGAUGCAGCCAUGCCGCGUGUGUGAAGAAGGCCUUCGGGUUGUAAAGCACUUUCAGCGAGGAGGAAGGUGGUGAGCUUAAUACGCUCAUCAAUUGACGUUACUCGCAGAAGAAGCACCGGCUAACUCCGUG